UACAGAGGGUGCGAGCGUUGUCCGGAAUCACUGGGCGUAAAGGGCGCGUAGGUGGUGGCUUAAGCGUGCGGUGAAAGCUCGGAGCUCAACUCCGAGUCGGCCGUGCGAACUGGGCUCACUGGAGCAUAGUAGAGGCAGGUGGAAUUCCGGGUGUAGCGGUGGAAUGCGUAGAGAUCCGGAAGAACACCGGUGGCGAAGGCGGCCUGCUGGGCAGUUGCUGACGCUGAGGCGCGACAGCGUGGGGAGCAAACAGG
rnacentral:rRNA from 1 species